ensembl:snRNA U6 U6 spliceosomal RNA
AUGCUCACAUGGACAGCACAUAUGCUAAAAUUGGAACAACACAAAGAUUGGGAUGGCCCCUGUGCAAAGAUGACACGCAAAUUUGUGAAGCGUUCCAUAUUUUU